rnacentral:rRNA from 1 species
UACGAAGGGGGCUAGCGUUGCUCGGAAUCGACUGGGCGUAAAGCGCACGUUAGGCGGAUCUUUAAAGUCAGGGGUGAAAUCCCAAGGCUCAACCUUGGAACUGCCUUUGAUACUGGGGAGUCUCGAGUUCCGGAAGAGGGUUGGUGGAACUGCGAGUGUAGAGGUGAAAUUCGUAGAUAUUCGCAAGAACACCAGUGGCGAAGGCGGAGCCAACGUCGGUCCGGUACG